UACAGAGGAGCCAAGCGUUGUCCGGAUUGACUGGGCGUAAAGCGCACGCAGGCGGUUGCGCGCGUGGGGUGUGAAAUCUGGCCGCUUAACGGCCAGGCGCCAUCCCAUACGGCGCGACUGGAGUGAUGCAGAGGUCGAUGGAAUUGCCGGUGUAGUGGUGAAAUGCGUAGAGAUCGGCAGGAACACCCAGGGGGAAACCAGUCGACUGGGCAUCUACCGACGCUGAGGUGCGAGAGCGUGGGGAGCGAACCGG
rnacentral:rRNA from 1 species